GAUGAACGCUGGCGGCGUGCUUAACACAUGCGAGUCGAACGGAAAGGCUCCUGCUUGCAGGGGUACUCGAGUGGCGAACGGGUGAGUAACACGUGGGUGAUCUGCCCUGCACUUCGGGAUAAGCCUGGGAAACUGGGUCUAAUACCGGAUAGGACGAUGGUUUGGAUGCCAUUGUGGAAAGUUUUUUCGGUGUGGGAUGAGCUCGCGGCCUAUCAGCUUGUUGGUGGGGUAAUGGCCUACCAAGGCGUCGACGGGUAGCCGGCCUGAGAGGGUGUACGGCCACAUUGGGACUGAGAUACGGCCCAGACUCCUACGGGAGGCAGCAGUGGGGAAUAUUGCACAAUGGGCGCAAGCCUGAUGCAGCGACGCCGCGUGGGGGAUGACGGCCUUCGGGCUGUAAACUCCUUUCGCUAGGGACGAAGCGCAAGUGACGGUACCUGGAGAAGAAGCACCGGCUAACUACGUG
rnacentral:rRNA from 1 species